GUGAAUCAUCAAAUUUUUGAACGCAAAUUGCACUCUCUUCGGUUAGUAUGCCUGUUUCAGGUUCAGCCUCAAAAAAUCUACAUAGCCGCUGUUUUGCGGUGACAUUCGUCGGAAAUUGGGUCAUCUUAAACCUUUGGGUUUUAUGCGUCUUAUAAUUUUCUUUAUGAUUCUAUUCACGCUUCUAAGAUUUACUUCUUACACGUUUAAGGUAAUCGAUCUUUAUUAUACGUGUCCUUUUCAUCGGAGCGCGUCCUUAAUCAUUUAGUUAA
rnacentral:misc_RNA from 1 species